rnacentral:rRNA from 1 species
GUAAUUCCGGUGAAGAUGCCGGAUACCUGCGACAGGACGGAAAGACCCCAUGGAGCUUUACUGUAGCUUGACAUUGGGUCUUGGUACUACAUGUACAGGAUAGGUGGGAGGCUUUGAAACCAGGACGCCAGUUUUGGCGGAGCCAUCCUUGGGAUACCACCCUUGUAGUACUGGGACUCUAACCAUAGGCCAUGAAUCUGGUCUUGGGACACUGUCAAGUGGGCAGUUUGACUGGGGCGGUCGCCUCGCAAAAGGUCACGGAGGCGCAGAAAGGUUCUCUCAGUACGGUCGGAAAUCGUACGUAGAGUGUAAAGGCAAAAGAGAGCUUGAUUGCGAGACAUACAGGUCGAGCAAGGGAGAAACACGGACUUAGUGAACCGGUGGUUCCUCGUGGCAGGGCCAUCGCUCAACGGAUAAAAGCUACCCUGGGGAUAACAGGCUUAUCUCCCCCAAGAGUCCACAUCGACGGGGAGGUUUGGCACCUCGAUGUCGGCUCAUCACAUCCUGGGGCUGUAGUAGGUCCCAAGGGUUGGGCUGUUCGCCCAUUAAAGUGGUACGCGAGCUGGGUUCAGAACGUCGUGAGACAGUUCGGUCCCUAUCCGUCGCAGGCGUAGGAAAUUUGAGAAGACCUGUCCUUAGUACGAGAGGACCGGGAUGGACGUACCUCUGGUGUACCAGUUGUCCUGCCAAGGGCAUGGCUGGGUAGCUAUGUACGGAAUGGAUAAGCGCUGAAAGCAUCUAAGCGCGAAG